rnacentral:rRNA from 1 species
CCUACGGGAGGCAGCAGUGAGGAAUAUUGGUCAAUGGGCGUAAGCCUGAACCAGCCAAGCCGCGUGAGGGAUGAAGGUUCUAUGGAUCGUAAACCUCUUUUAUACGGGAAUAAAGUGCGGGACGUGUCCCGGUUUGUAUGUACCUUACGAAUAAGGAUCGGCUAACUCCGUGCCAGCAGCCGCGGUAAUACGGAGGAUCCGAGCGUUAUCCGGAUUUAUUGGGUUUAAAGGGUGCGUAGGCGGCCUUUUAAGUCAGCGGUGAAAGUUCGUGGCUCAACCAUAGAAUUGCCGUUGAAACUGGGGGGCUAGAGUAUGUUUGAGGCAGGCGGAAUGCGUGGUGUAGCGGUGAAAUGCUUAGAGAUCACGCAGAACCCCGAUGGCGAAGGCAGCCUACCAAGCCAUGACUGACGCUGAGGCACGAAAGCGUGGGGAUCAAACAGGAUUAGAUACCCCUGUAGUC